UCUUCCGGCUGGGUUCCACUACCUGCAAGGCUGGAACUGACAGCCACUGUGCAAACAAAAAAAGGCAACAAGCAUGCUGGGACCAUUCUGUCUGCUGUUUGGGUCUCACUUGUCCUGACAACUAAAAAUCAUCAGUGGAAAGAGUUCAAUAUACUCUACUGUGGGAAAAACAAAAACAAAAUAGAAACAAAAUGAAAUUUUUGCAAGCUUGUGGUUGUGAAAAUACUUCACUCAGACAGCCGGACGUGGUGGCUCAUGCCUGUAAUCCCAGCACUUUGGGAGGCCGAGGCACGCAGAUCAUGAAGUCAGGAGUUCGAGACUAGCCUGGCCAACAUAGUGAAACCCCAUCUCUACUAAAAAGAAAAGAAAAUGCUUCACUCUAGAAUUUUGAUGAGAAGAAAAGUGCCAUGAAGACUCACGUGCAGCUUCCUGAGGAAUUUGUGUUUCACCCUAGAAGAAAUGGGAGGCCACUAAGAAGCUGGAGUCAUCCUAACAAGAGUGAUAGUCUUUCCCCAAGUGAGACCAGGCUGUGCUAUCUUGGGAAAAUCAUCGCUGGCCUUGCCGAGAUGCACCGACGACUCAGCUCAGCUAAGGACUUAACCAGUACAGGACUUGCUGCAGUGGAGACUGAGCUGGAUAUGGAAAGCAAAAGAAGCAAGAUCUCCCUAUGUUGCCAAGGUUGGUCUGGAACUCCUGAGCUCAAGUGAUCCUCCUGCCUCAGCCUCUUAAAGUGUUAGAAUUAUUGAUGUGAGCCACUGCAUGUGGUCAAUUCUGUCAUUCUUGACAACAAGGAUGAAGCUGGGAGAUACUGUGCUGAGUAGAAUAAACCAAGCACAAAAAGACAAAUGCCUCAUGAGCUCACUUAUAUGUAGAAUCUGUAACAGUUGAACUCAUCAGAGAGCAGAAUAAUGGUUACCAGGGACUAGCAGUAGGCUGGAGGGAGAGGAGGGGAGGUGUCAGUGAAAUAAUAAAAAAUUUCAGUUAGGAGAAAUAAGAUUUAAGAGAUCUAUUGCACAACAUGGUGACUAUAGUUAAUAACACUGUAUUAUAUUCUUGAAAAUCACUAAGAUUUUAAUAUUCUCACCACAAAAAAUAAGCAUGUGAGGUAAUGCAUAUGUUAAUGGCUCAAUUUAGCCAUUUCCAAUGAUUAAAUAUUUGAAAGCAGUUAUAUACCAUAAAUGUGUACCUUUUUUAAUUAAAAAAAUUAUUUUUUAGCAGGAUGCUCUGAAAUUGGAACUGAAUAUUACUUAAACCUUGAAGUCUGGGAACAGGGACAUAGUGCUUUUCCAAAACUGCCAGAAAGGUGUCUCUUAAUGCUCUAUGGAUAGAAGUGGCCACCUGUCUUACAGGCUGACGCUGGAGCCCAGCAAAAGUUAUUUUGGUAGACCCUUAUGGUUUAGCAAUGCAAAAAGAGAACCUACUUACUUUCUUUGUAUUAACUCUGGAUACUGAUAAACUAAAUAAAAAUACCUUGGCCAGGGAUAUUAAUUAUUUUGUUUAUUCAUAUAAAAGCCUGUUCCAUGCUUGAUCUUGCACGUGCUUUAAGGGACACAUUACGCACCCGAAGAGAGGCCUGCUGUUCCCACCCUGAAACUUUCGAAUCAACCACCUCCUCCAUUUACUGUAGCUCUGUGAAGACUGAAAGGAACAUAAAAGCCCGUGCAACACAACGCUGAUUCUAUCGAAUAUUCUGCCUCAUCCAACCCUCCCUAGCCCAGAGUAAUUGUUCUCUGUUUUGAGUCACUAAGCUCUCAUUUGGCACUUUGCAUUUGAAUCUUUUUAUUUCAUGCACUGCCUCAGCAACCGGAUUGUCAUUCACUUCGACUCCACUCAGCUUAAAAUAUUUAUUUUGUGCCUACCACAGGUCAGGGACUGUGAGGCACUGGUGAUAAAUAGAAGACAACUUGGUCCCUGGCUUCUAGUAAAUAAUUUCAUAUACAGGUGAAGAGACUGGCACACAAUCCAAGCACAGCAGACUAUGUGUAACAAGAAAGAAUGACCAAGGUAACAGGUAGCAAGGCAAGAAGAUACAGGGUUCAGGGCAUCCCUUAGCGGGGUGUCACCUGUGCUAGGCUCAGGGCUGAGUUGAAGUUCCUUAGGCAGGGGCAGUGGAAAAGAAAGGAAGGGAAAUUAUAUUUCAAGUGGAAGGAAAGCAAGUAAAAAGAAAGGACUGGAAUAUGCACUAUGUGAUCCAGGUAGGGAAAUGAAAGUAGUUUAGCACCAAUAAAGCAUAAAAGAUAAAAUAGUGAAGAUCAGCAGGAAGUAAUGCUUAGACUCAGAUGAUAGACUUUAGCUUAUUUUAUUAGAGGAUCUGGAUUUUAUCCUAGGGCUGAUGGGAAGUUGUGCGAUGGUUUGGGUAAGUUAGCAACAGACAUUAUUAUGAGUUAAAACAUGGAAAAUGAAUUAGAGGAUGACUAAGACGGAGGCAGCUGGGAGUUAAAGACAUAUUUAGCUAACACAGCCUGAAGAAUCUGGUGAGUAUUUACAGACCUGAGGGUGGGGACAGGGAAGUGUCUAGAGCCAUUCUCAAGUCCUACCUUGAUGUACGUUGGUGCCACUAACAAGGAAAGGAAUGAAAUAAGAGGUCAAGAACCUCUUUGUAGGUGAAAGUAAGUUCAUUUUGGACCUUCUCAGUUAAAAGUUUACAUCUUUGCAUUCCAGGGACAAUCUGAGACUACCUCCCAGGAGGCAAUCAGAGGUGCAAAUCUGGGCUGCUGGGAGGAAUGCUCGGUGUGUGUCUCUUCCUGCUUCUCCUCUGAGCCAGCCACUGGGCCCUGGCUCUGCAGCUAUCCACUCCGGGCUUUUGAUGAUGUAGGAAUUAUGGUGAUAAUGAUGAAUCUUUAAUCAGUUGGAUACUUUAUCCACUUAUGGCAUUGUUUAGGUAAGGCUGAAUGUUUUUUCCAAGGCCUUGGGCCUGAAGUAAUUUGGAUGUCUCCAUGAAUUCAUUCAUGCUCUCUGUUCUGUCAUUUCCUUUGAUGUUUCCUUUGUUUGCAGCAAGAGGCUCUAACUAGUCUCUCCUGGGACCCACAGGGUCCACGAAGUGAUGUGGUGCAGACACAGGGUACCGUAUUUCUAGCUGUUGCCACGAUGAAACAGGUGUCUCUAGAGCAUGGGACAAAGGAUUCUCCCAAGAUUGAGGGGGAAAAAUAUUGCUUAAAGCAUCACCCACAAUCACCCUUUUGCCUUAGGGACUCCAUCAGGUGCUAUAGUUUUUAAACAUUUUCUGUAUUCUAGCAGACCAAUGAUCUAUCCAGUUCAAAAUCUAAAGCCUCCGAAAAUGUAUUUUUUGAUAGAUGCCUAAAAUUAAAGUGUUGAUCUAUGGGGACAAGCAGAAGAAAUUUGACUCUGAUUGCUCUGAAUGCCCAAUUAUUUUUUCAGAGAUUGAUCUUAGAAGUAAAUGAUCAACUGACUUUUCCAAGUUAGACAUAUUUUUGUCAGGUAGUAAUGUGGUACCUAGAAUCAUUUUUCAAUUGGCUGUCAAAAUUAAAAAGAAAGACUGCCUCCUUGAAGGCAGCCAGAACAUUUCUGUUGUCUCUGAGCACGCUGGUGGGGUACUUUGGAGUUAGUGUUGCACUAAGCUUUAUGGCAGGGGGCAAGUGAUAAAAGCUGGGGUAGCCAGAGGUCCAGCUACUGCUGCGAUAAGGAUGAGCUCUAGCCUGGCAUCAGCCCAAACCAGCUGGGUGGCAAGAAGUAGGGAAAGCUGAUUUUGGUAGACAGGUAGAGUGAAAGGCGAAAACCAAACAAAGAAAACCAGAAACAUAGGUGAGAUGGGAAGAACUGAAUGUGGAAGUAAAGGGACUUUUCUUUACCUGAUCACACAUUGU